CACAACCUACUGAACAUCAACUGCAAACAUAGAAACUUGCCCCACAACCUACUAAACAUCAACUGAAAAAACAGAGCCACAUUGCCCCGGUUUGUCACUGAAUUGUCCACUGUAAGUAGUAGCAUUGCCUACUUUUCAUGAACCGCGGGUGAGAACCUUGCCUACUUCUGCAGGAAACCAAAAGCUACAAAAGUGUUCACUGUAAGUGGUAACAUUUCCUACUCAAUGAGGUUGGGAUCAUCAUGCAGGGAUAGGAAACCCUGAAAAAACACUACAGAUUAGCCUGUGAAAUAGUGAAGUGAGAACAUUGCCUAUAAAACAAAACUUGCUUGUGAAUGAAUAGGUACAGAUUUGCACGCAAAAUCUGCAAAAAAUGCCCACUGUAACCUGAAAUUUGCUUACCUAUGGAAAACAAACCUACAUCAUAUAAAACACCUGUCAUGGGAUCGAUUCCUUGCUUGCGAUUCACUACAGAAAAAAUGGCGCAAGAAAAAUACUUCUAUGCUUGAUAUCAAAAUCGAAAAUCAGUUUAGGUUGGUAUUUUGCGCACAGGCUUGGCCGGGGCAUCGAUUCCCGUCUCCUUACUCCUCUGCCGUCAUCCUCGCUGUCCCCGUCCUUGCCGUCCCCCCGCUCAUCCAUGUAGAUGACGCCGCCGUGUCGGCCGAACACCUCCCCUGCCUCCCCCCUAGUUAGCGAAAAUUGGGUGAAAAUGGUGAAGGAGUAGGGCGUGUGACUUACCUACUCUCUCCUGAC
rnacentral:lncRNA from 1 species